AACGCUAGCUACAGGCUUAACACAUGCAAGUCGAGGGGCAGCAUGGUCUUAGCUUGCUAAGGCCGAUGGCGACCGGCGCACGGGUGAGUGACACGUAUCCAACCUGCCGUCUACUCUUGGACAGCCUUCUGAAAGGAAGAUUAAUACAAGAUGGCAUCAUGAGUCCACAUGUUCACAUGAUUAAAGGUAUUCCGGUAGACGAUGGGAUGCGUUCCAUUAGAUAGUAGGCGGGGUAACGGCCCACCUAGUCUUCGAUGGAUAGGGGUUCUGAGAGGAAGGUCCCCCACAUUGGAACUGAGACACGGUCCAAACUCCUACGGGAGGCAGCAGUGAGGAAUAUUGGUCAAUGGGCGCGAGCCUGAACCAGCCAAGUAGCGUGAAGGAUGACUGCCCUAUGGGUUGUAAACUUCUUUUAUAAAGGAAUAAAGUGGUCCACGUGUGGAUUUUUGUAUGUACUUUAUGAAUAAGGAUCGGCUAACUCCGUGCCAGCAGCCGCGGUAAUACGGAGGAUCCAAGCGUUAUCCGGAUUUAUUGGGUUUAAAGGGAGCGUAGAUGGAUGUUUAAGUCAGUUGUGAAAGUUCGGGGCUCAACCCCGGAAUUGCAGUUGAUACUGGAUAUCUUGAGUACAGUUGAGGUAGGCGGAAUUCGUGGUGUAGCGGUGAAAUGCUUAGAUAUCACGAAGAACUCCGAUUG
rnacentral:rRNA from 1 species